rnacentral:lncRNA from 1 species
GGUGUUAAUAUUAUAUGCGAAGAAACGUUUGGGACGACCUACGGUGACAAUGGGUGCUACUGUUGUACGUGAAUGAGAAGAUUGGAGAAACAUGUCGUGUUGUAUUUGAAUGAGAAGGUUGGGAGAUCAUGUAAUGAGGCUCUGAUAAAUGGCUACGGAUGCAAGCAAAUUGACCUCUUUGAUCGAGCCAUAGAGGUGACCUGGUGAUAUGACAGGAUGAAAACAAAGAACAAAUGCACAACUCCUUGUUUCUAACGCAGUAAACUUGUC